GCUGGGUGUGGUGGCUCACUCCUGUAAUCCCAGCACUUUGGGAGGCUGAGGUGGGUGGAUCACCUGAGGUCAGGAGUUCGAGACCAGCCUGGCCAACAUGGUGAAACCCCAUCUCUA
rnacentral:SRP_RNA from 1 species